rnacentral:rRNA from 1 species
UACAGAGGGUGCGAGCGUUGUCCGGAAUUAUUGGGCGUAAAGCGCGCGCAGGUGGCUUGGUAAGUAGGGCGUGAAAUCUCCCGGCCUAACUGGGAGGGGUCGCCCUAGACUGUCAAGCUUGAGGCUGGCAGAGGUAGGUGGAAUUCCUGGUGUAGUGGUGAAAUGCGUAGAGAUCAGGAGGAACACCGGUGGCGAAGGCGGCCUACUGGGCCAGCACUGACGCUGAGGCGCGAAAGCUCGGGGAGCGAACGGG